rnacentral:rRNA from 1 species
CCUACGGGAGGCAGCAGUGAGGAAUAUUGGUCAAUGGGCUUACGCCUGAACCAGCCAAGUCGCGUGAGGGAAGACUGUCCUAUGGGUUGUAAACUUCUUUUGUCAGGGAGCAAUGCGGGCCACGGGUGGCCGUACUGAGAGUACCUGAAGAAAAAGCAUCGGCUAACUCCGUGCCAGCAGCCGCGGUAAUACGGAGGAUGCGAGCGUUAUCCGGAUUUAUUGGGUUUAAAGGGUGCGUAGGCGGAAUGCCAAGUCAGCGGUAAAACCGCGGGGCUCAACCUCGUCCCGCCGUUGAAACUGGCGUUCUUGAGUGGGCGAGAAGUAUGCGGAAUGCGUGGUGUAGCGGUGAAAUGCAUAGAUAUCACGCAGAACUCCGAUUGCGAAGGCAGCAUACCGGCGCCCAACUGACGCUGAAGCACGAAAGCGUGGGUAUCGAACAGGAUUAGAUACCCUUGUAGUC